rnacentral:rRNA from 1 species
UACGUAGGGUGCAAGCGUUAUCCGGAAUUAUUGGGCGUAAAGAGCUCGUAGGCGGUUUGUCGCGUCUGCUGUGAAAACUGGGGGCUCAACCCCCAGCCUGCAGUGGGUACGGGCAGACUAGAGUGCGGUAGGGGAGGUUGGAAUUCCUGGUGUAGCGGUGGAAUGCGCAGAUAUCAGGAGGAACACCGAUGGCGAAGGCAGAUCUCUGGGCCGUAACUGACGCUGAGGCACGAAAGCUAGGGGAGCAAACAGG